rnacentral:rRNA from 1 species
UACGGAGGGUGCAAGCGCUAAUCGGAAUUACUGGGCGUAAAGCGUACGUAGGCGGUCAAUUAAGUCAGAUGUGAAAGCCCCGAGCUUAACUUGGGAACUGCAUUUGAAACUGGUUGGCUAGAGUGUGGUAGGGGGAGGUAGAAUUCCAUGUGUAGCGGUGAAAUGCGUAGAGAUGUGGAGGAAUACCGGUGGCGAAGGCGGCCCACUGGACAAAGACUGACGCUGAGGUGCGAAAGCGUGGGGAGCAAACGGG